rnacentral:rRNA from 1 species
CCUACGGGAGGCAGCAGUAAGGAAUAUUGGUCAAUGGGCGCAAGCCUGAACCAGCCAUGCCGCGUGCAGGAAGACGGCCCUAUGGGUUGUAAACUGCUUUUGAACAAGAGAAAACCUCGGUACGUGUACCGAGCUGAUAGUAUUGUUAGAAUAAGCAUCGGCUAACUUCGUGCCAGCAGCCGCGGUAAGACGAAGGAUGCAAGCGUUAUCCGGAUUCAUUGGGUUUAAAGGGUGCGUAGGCGGCCUGAUAAGUCAGUGGUGAAAUCUCUCAGCUUAACUGAGAAACUGCCAUUGAUACUGUCGGGCUUGAGUACAGAUGACGUGGGCGGAAUAUGACAUGUAGUGGUGAAAUACUUAGAUAUGUCAUAGAACACCGAUUGCGAAGGCAGCUCACAAAACUGUAACUGACGCUGAGGCACGAAAGUGCGGGGAUCAAACAGGAUUAGAUACCCUGUAGUCGCACCGUAACGAUGAUACUCGUUGUUGGCAUAUGACCGUCAGCGACCAAGCGAAAGCGAUAGUAAUCACCUGGGAGUACGCGGCGACGUGAAACGUCAAGAAUUAGAGGCGAGAGAGNGCGACGGACGACGACGAGGGAGGAGG